GAUGAACGCUGGCGGCGUGCCUAAUACAUGCAAGUCGAGCGAACAGACGAGGAGCUUGCUCCUCUGACGUUAGCGGCGGACGGGUGAGUAACACGUGGAUAACCUACCUAUAAGACUGGGAUAACUUCGGGAAACCGGAGCUAAUACCGGAUAAUAUAUUGAACCGCAUGGUUCAAUAGUGAAAGACGGUUUUGCUGUCACUUAUAGAUGGAUCCGCGCCGCAUUAGCUAGUUGGUAAGGUAACGGCUUACCAAGGCAACGAUGCGUAGCCGACCUGAGAGGGUGAUAGGCCACACUGGAACGGAGACACGGUCCAGACUCCUAAGGGAGGCAGCAGUAGGGAAUCUUCCGCAAUGGGCGAAAGCUUGACGGAGCAAGGCCGCGUGAGUGAUGAAGGUCUUCGGAUCGUAAAACUCUGUUAUUAGGGAAGAACAAAUGUGUAAGUAACUAUGCACGUCGUGACGGUACCGAAUCAGAAAGCCACGGCUAACUACGUG
rnacentral:rRNA from 1 species